CGGGUUACCCCAAACCUUGUGGCUGGAGGCGCGAGCUGGGGGGUCUGUUGGGAGCCAGCCAUUGAAGGUGCUGGAGCAGAGAGAGAUAUGGAAUUGGAGCUGAUCCCUAUGAUGAAAGAUCUGGACCCUCGUGUAGCUGUUCCGUGAAGCAGGAGGUGAAGACCUAUUAAAAUGCCAUUUCAAGAACUACGAUUUUAAAGACAGUUUAGGUGGGAGGUAAUAAAGGUCUAAACAAGACGUUAAAUAUUGGGGACGUAAGGGAGAGGAUAUUUGAAGGACAUUACUCAUAACAAGACAUAGGGUUACUGACUAGUCAACGGACGCUUCUCCCUUGCUGACUGCAGCCAAUGGACCCCUUUUUAUCAAAGCUGGUCCCAGGGACCACAAAAAUCCUGUCCAUCCAUUACCCUGAUGUGAAGCCUGUUUAUAUAGCUCUUUUUGGUUUAAGGCAUCUCCAGACAUGGUCCUCUGGUAGGAAACAGGUAUGAGUAGACUAAUGAAGGACAAAAUGGGAUGAGGGACCUGGAAGCCUCCACCCUUGCAUUCCAAUACCACCCUUACCCCACAAAAGGAGGGUAUUGACCCACACAGAAGUGCUGACCUGUGGAAAGGG
rnacentral:lncRNA from 1 species